rnacentral:rRNA from 1 species
UACGUAGGGGGCGAGCGUUGUCCGGAUUUAUUGGGCGUAAAGAGCUCGUAGGCGGUUCGAUAAGUCGGAUGUGAAAUCUCCACGCUCAACGUGGAGGGGCCAUUCGAUACUGUCGUGACUCGAGUCCGGUAGGGGAGUGUGGAAUUCCCGGUGUAGCGGUGAAAUGCGCAGAGAUCGGGAGGAACACCCGUAGCGAAGGCAAUCCCCUGGGCCUGCACUGACGCUCAUGCACGAAAGCGUGGGGAGCAAACAGG